rnacentral:lncRNA from 1 species
GCUGAGGAGGGCAGACAUGCUCAGAAGUGACCUGAGAAGGGGAUUUUUGUUUUUCUAAACACUAGAAGAAAGGCAUGAGAUUGGAGUAGGGUGCAGGAGUGGGAGGUGUGCAGUAUUUUUCUGGAAAGCCACUCAGGAGCCCGGGGAGGCUGACCUAGAAGGGUAAGAGUCCAUGGAUGGUUACACCCUCCCCUGGGAGCCAGAGACGUGGCAGAAGAAAACCAAGCACUUUGUCCUUGGACUCCUUCAAGCUUGGAGGGGAGACUGGUUGCUGGGAUUAGGACAUUCCUGGUGUUCCAAAGAUUGCAAACUCAGAUGCUUCAGGGUUGUGCAGCCAAUUGGAUGCUUCACCCUGGGAAGAACUUGGCCUGCAGGCUCAGAUUUGUGACCAGUGAGGAUGCAGAGACUGUCACCUCCUCAGGGGCGAUCUGCUAAUUCUAGAAUGGCGCUGUCCCACGGAAAUAUAUCACAAGCCAAGAAUGCAAUUUAAAAUUUUCUAUUAGCCAUAUUAAAAACAGUAAAAAGAAACAGUUGAAAUUAAUUUUAAUAUGAUAUUUAACUCAAUAUAUCCAAAAGAUUGCCAUUUCAAGAUGUAAUCAAUAUAAACAUUUAUUAAUGA